rnacentral:tRNA from 1 species
AGCUUUAUAGUCAAUAAUGAUAUUAGACUGCAAUUCUAAAGGAGUAAAUAUAAUACUAAGGCUU